ACUUGGUUGAACAGGAAGUCACAGGCCUGAAUUUUUACUCCACCACUUCCUGUUGAGGUGGCGACAGUAAACUGCCAUCAUUUCUUCACUUUUAAAGCAGGGAUCAUAAUAACUUGCAUAGUUCUGAUAAAAUUAAAGAGAAUAUUAUGGAAAGAUCUGGAAUGGAGCCACAAGCCUGGAAGAAACAUCAUCAUCAUCAUCACCAUCAUCAUCAUCAAGCAAGAAACAAGUCAUCAGAAUCAUAGAAACAUGGAAGUAAAUUCUCGAGAAGUCCCAUCAAACUCUUUCUCCCACUGGAAUCUUAAGAAGUGGGUUAAAAUAGGCCCCUCUUGGUUCAAAAUCACAAUGAAGCAAAAACUGUGGCCCCAGUACUGUGGACAUCUCUGCAAGGCCUCAGGGUUGUUCACAAAGCCUAAUGUUAAAGAAACCCCUGAGGCAACAAAUGCAAUAUAUUGUAAAAUGUGUCAAGCUGAUUCCAGCAUGCCAUGAACUCAAAGUCUCAUAGUGAGGUUUGCUUUCUAUUGGGUCUCACCAUUUCAGAUCUCAGUUCCUACCUGCAAUCAUUUAUUCUCUGGAGGAAAGCGAAUCCCACAAUGACCAGAGUGACCACAAGAAGAGUAAGUUUCACAUAGAGAAUUAUCAGCAGAGUUGAACCUGGAGAUUCUGGUGUUUGGUGACCUUUAAAUAUAGGCAAAAGUAAAAAUUCAGCUUGAAGAUUCUGAUAAUUCACAAAUUACAGUCAAUGGUUUAAAAGAAUACUUUAAAAAUAUUCCUAAAGUUCUUAGAUUGUCAAAGUUAAAAAAAAAAAAAGAAAAACUUCUAAAUUAUAAUUCAAAUGUUACUAAUCUAUCAAUUCAUGAUUGAAUUUAGGAACCACAUCUAUAUUUUGUACUUGGUACAUUUUUAACUCAUAUUUUAUGAAGAAAGAAAAAGAAAGAAAGAAAGAAAGAGAGAAAGGAAGAAAGAAAGAAAGAAAGAAAGAAAGAAAGAAAGAAAGAAAGAAAGAAAGAAAGAAAAAAAGAAAGAAA